GAUGAACGCUGGCGGCGUGCUUAACACAUGCAAGUCGAACGGAAAGGCCCAAGCUUGCUUGGGUACUCGAGUGGUGAACGGGUGAGUAACACGUGGGUGAUCUGCCCUGCACUUCGGGAUAAGCCUGGGAAACUGGGUCUAAUACCGGAUAGGACCACAUUUUGGAUGGUGUGGUGGAAAGUUUUUCGGUGUGGGAUGAGCUCGCGGCCUAUCAGCUUGUUGGUGGGGUAAUGGCCUACCAAGGCGUCGACGGGUAGCCGGCCUGAGAGGGUGUACGGCCACAUUGGGACUGAGAUACGGCCCAGACUCCUACGGGAGGCAGCAGUGGGGAAUAUUGCACAAUGGGCGCAAGCCUGAUGCAGCGACGCCGCGUGGGGGAUGACGGCCUUCGGGUUGUAAACUCCUUUCGCUAGGGACGAAGCGCAAGUGACGGUACCUGGAGAAGAAGCACCGGCUAACUACGUG
rnacentral:rRNA from 1 species